GUGGGGAAUCUUCCACAAUGGACGAAAGUCUGAUGGAGCAACGCCGCGUGAGUGAAGAAGGGUUUCGGCUCGUAAAGCUCUGUUGUCGGGGACGAAUGUGCAGUAUUUGAAUAAAGUACUGUAAUGACGGUACCUGACGAGGAAGCCACGGCUAACUACGUGCCAGCAGCCGCGGUAAUACGUAGGUGGCAAGCGUUGUCCGGAAUCAUUGGGCGUAAAGGGAGCGCAGGCGGGAAGGUAAGUCGGUCUUAAAAGUGCGGGGCUCAACCCCGUGAUGGGAUCGAAACUAUCUUUCUUGAGUGCAGGAGAGGAAAGUGGAAUUCCUGGUGUAGCGGUGAAAUGCGUAGAUAUUAGGAGGAACACCAGUGGCGAAGGCGACUUUCUGGACUGUAACUGACGCUGAGGCUCGAAAGCCAGGGGAGCGAACGGGAUUAGAUACCCGAGUAGUCC
rnacentral:rRNA from 1 species